CUAACAUUUCCUCCCCCGUUCUCACUCUAGGCUGAUGACCUUACUUCCUAUCACUGAGAAAGUUGCAUCAGUAGGAAGAGAACUUCCACAUCUACCCACUUGUGAUCAUAUGCAGCAUUUCCUUUUUCCUUCUGUUGUUACCAUAUGUGAAUUAUCUAUGUUCCUAUAAAAGACUAAUUUCUUUACUUGUACACUUGAUCCUAGCUUCAUGGACAUUGAUCCAGGGUUUCUCCCUUCUCUCGUUCAAAUAAUCGAUAUUUGCAAAAUGUGUGAUGGGUCAGUCAUUUUGCAUACAAAUAUGCUGUUAUUUUUCUAUUACUGAUUUUUAAAACAAAUCUUCAGAUUCCUCUUUCAGCUACACCUCCAUUCAUUUGCUUCCCUCUGUAGCAAAAUUCCUUAAAAUAGUUAUCUGUUCUCCUCCCUAAUUCCUUUCCUCUUAAAUUACUUCAGUUAGGAUUUACCCUUACCAUUCCACUGAAACUGCUUAUGUAAAGGUCACCAGUGAUCUCCACAUUAAUAAAUCCAAUGGACAAACUUGAAUUCUCAUCUUACUUAUCAGCAGCAUUUGACACAAUUGAUUCUCUUUGAUAUACUUUCUUCACAUGGCUUGCUGAAUAUCACACUGUCUUGCUUUUAUUUCUACCUAGCUCAGUAUCUCCUUCUUAAUAUCAUUUUCUGGUCCCUCCUUUUCUGUAUAACUUCUUAACAUUGGAGUGUCCCAAGUCUCUAUUUGUGGUCCUCUUCUAUUCCCUAUCUAUUGUCAUUCCUUAUUAAUUAUAUCCAGUCUCAAGACUUUACAUUCCAUCUGUAUGUCAAUGACUCUCAAAUCUGUAGCCAAAACCACUCUUCCAAAUCCCAGGCUCAUAUACUCAACUGUUUACUCAACACAUCCACUUAGAUAUCUAAUAUAUAAACUUAACAUAUUCAAAGUUGAACUCUGUCACUUCCCCCUAUACUUAACCUCACGAAACAUAUUUCACACAUAACCUACUCAUCUCAGUUGAUAAAAACCCCAUUCUUCUAGUUGUUCAAGGCAAAAACUUUGUAGUCAUCCUUGACUUCUUUAUUUUAUACCUUAACAUCUAAUCCAUCAGAAAACACUUUUGGCUAUGCCUUCAAAUUGUAUUCAGAAUCAGACCACUUGUAACUGUCUACAAUACUACCACCUUGUUCAAGCUACCAUUAUCUCUCACUUGGAUUAUUUCCACAGUUUUCUAAUGGUCUUUCUACUACUGUCCUUAUCACCUAUACAAUUUAUUCUCAAUCCAGCAGUCAAGUGAUCCUUUUAAAACGUAAGUCAGAUCGUGUCAUUCUAAAACCAUGCAAUGGCUCUCCCUUUCGUUCAUAGUAAAAGUAAAAUUUGUUUCCAGGGUCUACAUGACCAGACUCGCAAUGACUUCAUGUCUUCCUGUCCCCCAGAUGAUACCAGCACACUCCCUCCUUUGGGAUUCUCCACUGUCUAUGUCCCCACAUUUGGAAUACCCUUCUUCUAAAUCAGGGAUCAGCAAACUAUGCCCCUCAAACUAUUUUUGUAAGUAAUGUUUUAUUUGGACCCAGCCAUGCCCAUUUUUUAACUUAUUGCCUAUGGUCACUUUUGCACUACAAUUGCAGAGUUGAGCAGUUGCAAUAUCGCUCAUAAAACCUAAAAUAUUUACUAUAUGAUCCUUUACUGAAAAAGUUUGCUGCCCCUUGGGCUAGACGUUUUCUUGACUUACUGUCUUAUUUUCCUCCCCAAAUCUCAUCUUUUCAAUGAAAGCAAUACUUGGCCACUCCAUUUAAUUAAUAUUAUGACCUUAUUCUAUGGCCCUGAUACUCCCUAUCCCUUUUAUUCUGCUCUUCAUCUUUUCCCCCUCCUCUGGUUCUUUUAACAUACUACGUAAAGUAUUUAUUAUUUUCAUUAUGUCUGGCCCUUAACUCUCAUUAUAAUGUAAAUUAAAUGAGAACAAGGAUCUUUGUCUCUAUUUUUUUCAAUGAUGUAUUUCAUUGAAGAGUGUCUGGCAUAUGACAGAUUCUUCAUAAUCAUUUGUUGACUAUUGAAUAAAUGUAUAUAUUUUUACUAAUCUUUUUCUUCCUUGUUUAUAAACAACAGAAUUAAACCAAAAACCAAACCCACUGCCAUCAAGUCAAUUCCAACUCAUAGCCAUCCCAUAGGGCUUCCAAAGCUGUAAAUCUUUUUUGGAAGUGGACCGCAACAUUUUUGUCUCCUGGAGCCUGUGGUGGCUUCUAAGCACCAACCUUUCGGUUAGCAGUUGAAUGCUUUAGCCACUGUGUCACCAGGGCUCCUUAAUAACAGAAUAGGUUGUUAAAAAUUUCUCACUGAAGUUGUAGAUUUGUCAAUCUCUCUGCAGUUCUGUCAAUUUUUCUUUGCAUAUUUUGAAGCUAUGUUAUCAGGUAGGUACUUUUCAAAUUGCUGUCAUUUUUUAUUAAUUGAUUGAAUAUUAUCUAGUGAUCCUCUUUAUUGCAAAUAAUGCCUUUGCAUUAUUUGUUUAAUGUCAAUACAGUGACACCAGUUUUUUUGGCUAGAUUUGUGAGAAAUAUACUUAUAUUCCAAAUUUUUGCUGCCAACCUUUCUGUGGGUUUUUUGCUCAUUUUCUUUGUCCAAUAUAAGAAUGCCUGCUUUUUAACUGGCAACUUUAUGCUAUUUAUGCUUACUGUUAUUAUUAAUAAUUUAGAGUUUUACAUCUUGUUUUAUUUGUUCUGCUUUUUCUAUAAUUUUUAAAACAAUCCUUUCCUGCCUCUGUUGCACUGAUUUUCUGCAUUUCUUUUCUCCUCCCUACUGAUUUAGAAUUAUGUAUUCUAGUUCUCUUCUAUUAGGAGAUAUUCUUGAAUGUUAAAAUUUCCUUUUAUCUUAAGUAUAGCCUGUAGUAAUUUUCUCACCCAUCUCACCCAAUCAUCUAUUUUGCAGGUGGCAAAGCUAAGGUCCAGUGAAAUAAAGAGAUUGGCCAGGAAUCUCAGUAUACAUCAAGACCAGAAUCAGAACCUAUUCCUUUUAACCCCCUUUCCAGUAUUCUUUCUUCUAUGCCAACACUUCCAGUCCUUUCCCUGCUCAAACCCUAUAUGUUAUGCGAUUCUAUUAGCCAAGAGGAAGUUGGGGGCGGGGGGAGUGAGAUAAAGGAAACUGACUGACCUCAAUUUCACUCUCCUGAUGAGUGAGCCAUCUUUGGGGCUUUACCACCUCUGUUGUUGCUUCCACUUUACUUGGGACUUAUCGUGAGCUGGAAGCACAUGACUCUAUACUGAUGACGCUCUGUGCAUGCCCACAUGGACUAAACUAUGCAACACCGUAACCAUGGACUCACAACCUGCAGAGUUGCAGAAAGUUGACUUCACCACACUCAGAACAUUCUCCUGCAGGCCUAUCAAGUCCUCCCCUCCUCCCGUCCAACUCCAGAUAAUAUAUUCCUUAGGACUUUAGCAAAUAUAUUAUUUUAAAAAUGAGAAUGGGUAGAAUUGUCUGCUAAGGUCAAACAUGUUAUAUGAUGUCAGAGAUUUCGCUGCCUUCCUGGCCCUAAAUUGCUCUGAAAUGAUACAAUGCAUUUAUUUGUAUUAAUCAGCCUGGCAUUUUUUAUUUACAGUCUUCUAGGUUGUUGUAAUGGGUAUAGGUUUUGUUAAGGAUCUCUAAGUGGUUCAAAAGGUUAACACCCUUGGCUGCUAACUGAAAGGUUUGUGGUGCAAGUCUACCCAGAAAUGCCUCAGAAGAAAGACCUAGUGAUCUAUUUCCAAAAAGUCAGCCGCUGAAAAUUGACAGUUCUACUCUGACACACAUGGGGUCGCCAUGAGUUGGGGCCAUCUUGACAGCAACUAGUUACUGGUACUUUUUAUUUUGUGGUUCUGCCUUCUUAAAAGAAUGGAAAUUUCCUUGAAAGCUGGAACCAUAUUCUAAGAAUUCUAUUUUCUAAACCUCAAAGUGGGACCUAUAAAUAAGAAUAUACAUGUAAAUAUGAGAUAGAACAUUGGAAUCAGAGUCUGGUGAAAGUAUUAGAAGCAAGAAACAAUGUUGGUCAUAGUGUUAGGCAUGAUUUGGAGAAGGUUAUUGCUGGAGGCAAGUGAUCUGUUGAAAACACUCUAAGCAAGAGGUUUCAACUUGGGCCUUGUGUUAGCCAAACACUCUGCACUGCUAGUGAGAAAUCCCUGUAACGAUUUGUCAUUCAGCAAGAAGGAGGGUGCUGAUCUCAGUUGUUUGAGGAAAAGCCAUGCUUCUUCUGGCCCAGUGGGAGGGGAGGAAAAUGGUCGGAGUCAGCAGGGUCAUGCCCCAGGGGAAAUAGUAGUGUCCAGUAGCAUUUUCACCUGUGUUUAUUUAUUCUCCUAAACCGAAACUAGAUGAAUGGACAGAGAAUGUACAAAUGAAUAUCUAAGAAGUUCCAAGGGAGUCUAUUUUCCUGAUGAAGGAUGAAAGCUUAAAUGGAGGCUUGAACCAGAGAUUUGGUAAAUCAACAUGGUUUGGUUUAAACCUACUUCUUUGGCUUUUUUUUUUUUUUUCUUUCUCCUGGAGAACAAUGUCUCACAAAAAUAGUGAAUGAUUAAGUGUUGACUGAGUUAUAUAACCCCGUUGCUAUUGAGUCACUUCUGACUUAUGGUGACCCCAUAUGUUACAGCAUAGAACUGUGCUCCAUAGGUUCUUGGCUGUAAUCUUUAUGGAAGCAAAUUACCAGGCUUUUUAUUCUUCUGCGGUGCCACUGGCUGAGUUCAAACCACCAACCCUUAAGUUAGUAGUUGUAUGUAAACUGUUUGUACCACCCAGAGACCUUCUGAGUAGUAUAGAGAGUAAUCACUAUAAAGAGUUCACAACCACAGUGGAUUGGAGCAACCCUGAAAGUGGUGACUAGAACUUGGUCUUGGGUGACUAGGAUUCAGAUUAAGUGGAAAGGAGAGAGAAAGGAAAGGAGGCAUUUGCUGGGUGGAGGGAAACGCCAUGUACAAAUGAAACAGGAAGGCACAAGGUCACUAUUACUCCUGGUUUUCACAGAUAAGAAAACUGAGGCUCAGAUAGUCCAACUAACUUGUUUUAGGUUAUAAGCUACUUGACACCAAAGCUUACUUUCCUUUUCCCACAGUCCUCUGUCUUACAAGUUCAUAAGAGUCAUAGGCAUGUAAACAAGUAACUAUGAUAUAACAAAUGUUUGUUAAAUUGAAAGCUGUUCCAUUACUUUUCAUUUUCCUUUAGUUGGACUUUCCAUGACACCUCAAAAAAAGGAAGCAACAUCACUUUCUAGAAAAAUAUUCACUUCCUGAACUGAAGUCACUAAAGGAACUCACAUGGGCGUGCUAUUUUUUCAAAGACAGAGGUAGUAGUGACAUAAUCCUGUUCAAAGCACAGACUGGCAAUUUCUGAAGGUGAAGAAAUGCCUCCCCCCUAAAAAAAAAAAAAAAAAAGAGAGAGAGAGAGGGAGAAUGGGGACCUAGAAAGGAAAGGAAAGGCAGAGCUACUUAACUUCAAAAUCUACUAAUUAAGCUGAUAAUCUUCUUACAGUUAGAAACAUUCCAGAUUUUCAGAAAUGGAAGUUUCUGUCAAAAGCAGUUCAACAUUCAUGGUCUUUGUAAGGUAUGUAUUCUUUUCAGGUUUUUCAAACCAAGGCAAAAAGGAAAACCCACGAAGGAUCGUUGCUGAUAUAAUUUACUCUCAUUUGUCUCUGAUCCUUUAUGGAAUAAAGUUGUAAAUCAACAGAAUCAAGCAAGUAAGCAAUAUGCAAUGGAAGAGACUAAUUUUCUCAUAUAGAGUUACUGUUCCAAUUUCCAUGUGCUCCUGGCUCCUACUCAGGCCUAGCCUCACCAAGUGACUAGGCAGUUAAUUGCAGGAACUUAAGGUGAUUAUGAGUUGUAAACUGAGGGGCAUGAGUAACUCAAUCUCCUGCAUCUGAAAUUCAAACUUAAAGAAGGAAGGAAGGAUAGAAAGAAAGAAGGAAGGAAGGAAAGAAAGAAAGAAAAAAGGAAGGAAGGAAAAAUGCUAGGAAGUUGACAAGGAUAAAAUACUGUUAGAAAGGCUGCAAUUGCCAGGGCAAUGAGUAUAGGGGCCCUACUGGUGGCUAGAGAUAGAAUAAUUGGCUAUUUUGGUUCUUUUGGUAUCUUUUAAGUAGGGAAAACAGAGGUAGGUACCACUUCCCAAAGAUUUUCUAAGACCCUUUGCCAGUGUUCUAUUAGAGCCCUUACCAUACUGUAUUGUAAUUUUUUGUCCAUGUGCAGGUCUGCCAACCCCAAUAGACUGAGUAAUUAGAGGGGGUGAUAGUAUUUUAUUACUAUUUAUAUUCCUACUGCCUUGCACAUAGUAGAUGCCCUCAUAUGCUGGGUGGGUAAAUCGGUAGGUGGGUAGGUAGAUGGGUAGAGAGAAAUCAUCACACUCACCACUUAAGCAACAAAAACCUGGCAGUAGAAGGAAGUCACCAAAGGAAUUCAUUUCCAUGAGGCAUCUCAGGUACACUGACUAGGGAGUGUGUGUUGGCAAUCAAAUGAGUAAUUCACUGAGAAAGUACUUAGGAGGUUUUAGAAAAAAAUUUUUUCAAGGAAGACAAGUCACAAUUACAUCCUUUGACUUGUAAUUGUAACAAUACUGUAGAAUGAGUUAAGCUCUGGAUAUGCAGGUGUCCCAGAAAAGGCCAACGAAAGAUCAGCAUCCAGAAUAUUUGGAAAAUGUGCCCUUUGAUUAGUUAUUUAAACCACCUGGAGUGAUUUUUUUUUUUUUUUUUUUGAGCCCUGGUGAUGCAGCGGAUAAAGAGCUUGGCUGCUAACUAAAAGGUCGGCAGUUCAAAUCCACCAGUUGUUCCUUGGAAACCCUGGGGGACAGUUCUACUCUGUUUUAUAGGAUUGCUAUGAGUCAGAAACGACUCGAUGGCAAUGGGUUUGGUUCGGAGUGAUUUUUAAAUGCUCUUUCCUAGAAAAAUGGUUCUCAGCUUUGCCUUUUGUCCUACAACUCCCUCUCGAUUUCUCUCUUCUUUCCCAUGCCCCACUGAUAUAUUUGAAAUAUUAGCAGAUUUCUCUUUUUACUCUCAUGGUGUUUCUUCCAAACUGUCAUUCCUGUCUCUUCAUAUCUGUACCUCAUUUAAGCAAUUACAACUCUGUGUUUAUUGCCUUUGGGGCGGGGGGGGGGGGCGGGAAAUGUGGCUUGGUAGAAUGUUGAAAUAUCCUGAGAGCUAUUGCUUUAGUUCUGAAAUCCUCAGUGAUGUAGGUGAAAGAGAUAGUUUGGGGCUCGUCCAAAAUGUAUGAAGAACAAUGUUGGAGGAGAACAUUUUCUAUACACUAGAAAAUGUUUCUCCAGGCUGAGGAAGAUGUAAGAAAGAGAAGAUAUGAUGAAAAUAGCUAAGUGGGUAUUCCAGAAAGAGGGGCUCUAUGCCCUGCUUCCUGCGAAGAAUGAUAAUGAGGUGAAAACAGUCCAGAAAGAUUUAGGGGAGUAGAAAGAACCUGUACCCUGCAGGGGAAGGAACAGAACCACAGAGAAGGAAUGACAAUGUGGUAGUUAAGACAAGAGAGGGCCAUGGACAACUUACAAGAUUACCAUAACCCAUGAUGACCCAGAAGCAGAAAAAUGACUCAGAUGGGGCCCAGAAUCUGUGAAAAGAUCCACCAGUCUUUAGAUGUUUUCCAGAAAGAACCUAAGGCAAUUUUAUAGGACCAAUUAAAGACACGUAAUUUGGACCGAGCAUUGCAACUCAGAUGUUGAGAGGAGCCAGGAAGCCAACAAUAACAACAACAACAAAGAAGCCAUUUGGAGUAAGGAAAAUCAGUUGCCUGAAAUAUAAUUAAAGUAUACCUAUUUUUACUAAUCUACAUUGUGUGUUCCAUGACAAACAAGUACGUUAAUUGAGUUCUCUGAUUAGGAACCAGAAACUUGGCAAUGUCAGAUCUUGUAUCAUGUUUGUGGUGUACGGUAUAAAGAUGUCAGUCGUGUGUGUGUGUGUGUGUACUUUUUUUAACUGGGAAUGAUGUUUAACUCAUAAUCAUAGCUGGUCACAAACAUGUGUUCUUCCAAACAGAAUUUUCAUAACUGUUUUUUAUCAUCAGGACAAUUGCUCCUCAUUUCUGUACUCAGGCCAGUAAUAUUAAUUAGAAGUAGCAUCUUAAACAAUUUUAGUUCAUUUUCAAACCGUCUGAAACCAGAAAACUAUUUUUGAAAUUCAGUCUUUAGUUCCCUAAUUUUGGGGCAGUAGUUUAGGCCAUAUUUUUACUUAGGGGGACAGAGACCAAUCUGAGUUUACGAAAGUGGGUCAUACUAUUCCUUGCCAAAUCAGUGUUUCAAAGACAUUAUUUUUUUUUAAGAGAAAAUUAAAUAACUUAUUUGGGAACCUACAAAUGAAUACUGCUAUAAAGGAAUAUUUAAAGUAUUUAGAUGGGUUAUAAUAACAAACAAAAAGGCUAACUUUUGAUCUAAUCUUUACCACAAGCUAUUACUAGAAUUUCCCUUUGAAUAACAUAGUCCAGUCCAUUUUUUUUUUUCAACAAAUGAAAAAAUAUCUUUUGCACCAAGUAAUGAAUGGCUAAGAUGCCUCAUUUGUAUUUUCUAUAGCACUCUAGAUAUUGGCCAUUUUUUUCAUUAAGCAAAGUAUUGCACUGUCUGUGGUUCAGGCACAGGAGGAUGACUGGUUCCCUGGAGCUAAUUACGACAUUUAUGUUAGGCUAAAUUUUUAACUUCCUAGCGCAAUGUGAUUUCUGUGAAUGAUAUAAUGGGAAGAGUAGAGUUCCAGGUUCCGGAAAAGCAACGCCACCCUGGAUUUAAACUUCAUCCUAAACUACUGUUAACACCAAGUACCAGUUGUACUCACAAGAGAACCAUUUGAAGUCACACUUACUAUUUGCGACUAGUCUGCAUUAAAAUUUUCAAGAAUUUUUCAACACAUAAAAAUGAGUCAUUUCCUGUGGUUAUGUCUCUAUUGGGCACUAAGUCCAAAAGUUAUUCAGUAGUGUUAAAAUAUUCAUCAACACCACGAAAGCAGUAAGAAGGUACUAUUUAAACCUCUGCUGUCCUCAGCUGCAACAGAAAAUACUCCAAAUGAUUAUAUUUUUUCACAAAGUUUGUUUUAUAGGUUCUUAGCUAUGUCUUCAAAAUGCAAAGCAACAUUAUGUCUAUUUUAGACUUCUAUUUUGAAUGGUCAUUUCCCAUCAGGACAUAUCAGUUCUGCUGCACAUGACUGGCACAGUUUUAUAAAAUUGUCAUCUGUAAACAGAUUUGACUCCCGGGGAAAUUUUCUUGCUUAACUUGUAGAUGGGUUUCACAACAACAUGUCAUUUAGUCAAAACUCAGCCUCGUUGACAAGUUAGGCCCUUUCAUAGUUCACUAAGUUUGUUAUCCUGCGUAAUUCCCGUAUUCAUGUUGCUGCCCUGAGUUGUAUUCUGUUGUAUCAGUCACAUAUUGUGUAUACAUUAUGUGACUGAUACAACAGUCACAUAAAAAAAAAAAAAUUUUUUUUUUUUUUAAGCAUCUUUAAUUUUUAAAGACCAAAUAAAAGUUUUAUUUUGUUUGGUUUUUUACUCAAAUUGACCCCAGACAAUUUGCUUAUAUUAAAAAAAAAAAAAAAGUGGUGGUAGUGGUGCCCAAGACACGAGGAGUUAUAGGAAAGCCGAAUCUGACAGGGGCAAAUAUUCUCAUCUCAAAGACAUUAUGGACUAGCGAGCAACUCUGUAGGAAAGGUAACAUUUCAUUUUUCUUAUUGUCUACUCUAUUAUUUACAUACAUUUUAAUUCCUUUUAAAAUGUACUCCCCCCGAAUGAAUCAUGCUAACUGUCCCUCCUACCCCAGCCCUAGUAUAGUGAUCUGUACUGGCACAAUUGUAGCAGUUGCCACUGAGUCAAAUCCAAUUCAUGGAAACCCCAUGUGUGUCAGAGCAGAGCUGUGCUCCAAAGAGUUUUCAGUGGUUGGCUUUUUGGAAGUAAAUUGCUAGGCCCUUCUUUCAAGGUGACUCUAGGCGGACCUCCAACUUGGUUAUCAGAGGAGCGCAUUAACUGUUCGCAUUAUCCAGGAACUCCAAAUCAAUUGUACCUCUUUUUAAAAAUUACUAAAUGGCUGCUAACCAAAGGGUCGGCAGUUCUAAUCUGCCAGGUGCUCCUUGGAAACUCUAUGGGGCAGUUCUACCCUGUCCUAUAGGGUUGCUAUGAGUAGGAAUCGACUCGAUGGCACUGGGUUUUAAUACUAACUGCCUUCACAAUUUUUCAGUCAACCAUUUAAUAUAUUUAUUGAGUUUCUAUUAAAUUCAAGGCUCUCCUCGCUGCAUGAUGAAAAGAUAAAUAAGAAUAAGUUUUGUAUUCCAGGAGCCUAACGUCUACUAACGUGCAUGUAUCCACACCUCCAAAGGAAAUCCAGUGGCUUGGGGCUAUCCAGUACACUUUUUUUUUUUUUUAAGGGCAGUUUUAGUUUACAGAAAAAUUGAGCAGAAAAUACGGAGAGUUCCCGUGUACUCCUUCUCCCCUGCCCAGUUUCCCCUGCUAUUAGCAUCAUCCAUUCCUGUGGCACAUAUACCAUAAUUGAUGAACCAAUAUUGACACAUUAUUGUUAAAGUCCAUAGUUUGCAUUAGGUUUGCUUUUUGUUUUGCAGUUCUACUCUGUCCUAUAGGGUCGCUAUGAGUCGGAAUUGACUCAACGGCACUGGGUUUGGUUCGGGUUUUGGUUUAUGGGUUUUGACAAAUGCGUAAUGUUGUAUGUCCACUAUCAUAAUAUACUACAGGGUAGUUUCACUGCCUUAAAAUUGCCCUGGCCUUCACAGUAUUUUAAAGUUGAAUUUAUUCUAACAUUUUAAAAUUGCAUUAUUAAUACAGAAAACCCAAAUUUCCAUCUUCUCUUAAAAAACUGAAGACUAAUAUCACUGGUUUGCACUCUCAUAUGACAAAACCAAAACAAACUCACUACAAUCUAGUCGGUUCUGACUCAUAGCUACUUACCGGACAGCGGAGAACUGCCCACACAGUGUUUCCAAGGCUAUAAAUCUUUACGGAAGCAGAUUGCCACAUCUUUCUCAUGAGGAGUGUCUGGUGGGUUCCAAAUGCCAACCCUUUAGUUAGCAACCCAGCACUUUAAUGACUGUGCCACAGGGCUCCUCUUCUCCUGGCAACAUAGGGGCUAAAGCUGAGAGGUGGCUUUUCUUUACCUGUUGGAGUCAGCCACAGGCUGAUCAUCCUCUGAGUAUCUGUUGGUAUUUAUCAUUCCAUUCCAAGCCAAUUUCAGCCUUUGGUUACCUGCUGACCUCUCUGAACCAAGCAAGUUUUAACUAAAAUCUAUGCUGAUCAUAUGAGUGAGAAAUGAUAAAUGAAAAAUGCAGAUUGGCAGGUUCAAAGUUAAAUAUCACAGGGCAAGUUUGUUUUAACAUUUUUGGCAUACAACUAAUUCUUGCUAUGGUUUUGUGGAAAGCAGCCUACAUGAAAGCUUUGGGAAGUCUCACAAGUAAGUAUCUCACCACAAAUUACAAGCAAACCAAAAGAUUCCAAAUGCAGUUGAAAACCAAAACUUUCUCUGGAUGCCAACUAAGAAAACUGUUUAUUCGGUUUCAUUUUCUUUUUCCCUUAUAUAAAAGAAGGAAACUGACUUACUUUCCUUUUUUUUUUCCUUGAUUCUUACGAUGGAGUGAAAAGAGGAAGACAUUUCUUACUGUAGUGAGUGAUAUUGGUAUCCUACCCAGAUCCCCUUCACUGACAGAGCAUGUCCAUCCCCCAAACAGCAUUGAGUGUCACUGCUGAGGGCCCACAGCUGCCCCUUCUCCAGAGAGCUGGAGAGCUUGAGAGAAGCUGCCUCACUUGAGAGGUUGCUCUGCCCCCAGGCAGCCAGUUACUAGUGACUGACUUAGGGGAUAUAGAAUGCCAGCUCCCUUGCCUCAAACCGGGACUAACUUUAAUGUAUAAUUCAUGCUCCAAAAUUCCCCCAUAGGACACAAGCUGAAGCUAGGCUCAGCUGAGAACAUAUUCUUACUGUCUUUCCUCCUCUAUUUAGCUUCCCUCCCUCUCCUUCUCCUGAGAGUGCUUCCUUGUUAAAUUGUCUUCACAAAAAUUCCUGUUUCAGGCCCCACUCCUAGGGAACUUGACCUAAGACAAUUACUAGUCACUGAAUAGAUUCAUCUCUGGCUCCCACUACAGAAACUAGGUAAAUUCAAAUUCUUUGUUUCUGUUUGAAGAAGGCAGGUCACUUAGUCCAGCCUGACACCUCUGCAGUUGGGCCGCAUUAAAAAGCACCCCCUGAGUCACAACCUCUACCCCAACAAAAAUUCAUUCUGCUAUGGACUUGCCAGCUAUCCCCUUAGAUCAAGAUACAAUAACCCCACUCAGGUGAAACAAAUAAAUAAUGACUAACCAUAGAUUUUUCCCGUAGGUUCCUAGGGAAAUAACCUACUAAAUAAUCCAAUUUCUGCUUGGGGAUCAAAUAAGGAAAUCUGACAGUGAGAUAGGGAGAGAUGCUUAGGAAUGUAAAGCCAGAGUAAUCAAAAGUUACUGUAAUUAUUAAUAAAAGAAAAACCUACUCCAUAAAUUUCUACUUCAUCCUAGAAUGUCAGCAAUCCCAUUUAUAGUCUAUGUUAAGAGUCUAAGUAAUAAUUCUUAGUUGACAUGUCUUUUUCUUGCUGACUGUAACUUUGCCAUGGAGAAUGGUGAGGGACCUUCUUUGACUGGGACUCCAAAGCAAUGGGCUCCAAUGGUGUUGCAGUAUGUUGUCGAUAGGUGCCAUUUAGUUGAUUCCAGGUCAAAAUGACCCUAUGUAGAACAGAACGAAGCACUGCUCCGUCCUGCACCAUCCUCACAAUCCUUGCUAUGUUUGAGCCAGUUGUUGUAGCCACUGGAUCAAUCCAUCACAUUGAGGGUCUUCCUCUUUUUCAUUGACCUUCUACAUUACCAAGCAUGAUAUCCUUCUCCAGGGUCUGGUCCCUCCUGAUAACACGUCCACAGUACAUAAGAUGAAGACUUGCCAUCCUCGUUUCUGAGGCGCAUACUAGGGUGUUUUCAGUGAUCAGAAAUGUGGGCAGGUCGCCAUAAAGCUUUCAAAGAUCCCAUAGAUAAGAUUUAGUUGUUUAGAAUUCAAUACCUAAAUUUUUUUACAAUAUUUGUAUGUGAAAAUUUUGGGCAUCGCAAAAUGAAACCACAAUAAUAGGAAAUGAUGAUACCUUCAAAGUUGAAAAAUUCCCAUCUUGAGAACUAGAUCCUUAAAAGAUCACCAUCAAAUUGUAAAAUAAAGGUUUGCAUAGUUAUAAGGGAGCAACCAACACCAGGUAGGAUAGACAGGGAAGGACUGGACAGUGUUUUAAGAGACAGGUAGGAUUUUACCCCAGUAUCCUAGUGUGUGGAAACCCUGGUGGCAUAGUGGUUAAUUGCUACAGCUGCUAACCAAAAGGUUGGCAGUUUGAAUCCGUCAGGUGCUCCUUGGAAACUCUAUGGGGCGGUUCUACUCUGACCUAUAGGGUCGCUAUGAGUCCGAAUUGACUCGACGGCUGUGGGUGGGUAUCCUAGUCUGUGGUAUUUUCUGGGGCAUUCCACUCCUGGGAAGUAUCUAAACCUAAAUA